GCCCUUCGGGGUGGAUUAGUGGCGAACGGGUGAGUAACACGUGGGCAAUCUGCCCUUCACUCUGGGACAAGCCCUGGAAACGGGGUCUAAUACCGGAUAACACCGGCCUCUGCAUGGAGGCUGGUUAAAAGCUCCGGCGGUGAAGGAUGAGCCCGCGGCCUAUCAGCUUGUUGGUGGGGUAAUGGCCUACCAAGGCGACGACGGGUAGCCGGCCUGAGAGGGCGACCGGCCACACUGGGACUGAGACACGGCCCAGACUCCUACGGGAGGCAGCAGUGGGGAAUAUUGCACAAUGGGCGAAAGCCUGAUGCAGCGACGCCGCGUGAGGGAUGACGGCCUUCGGGUUGUAAACCUCUUUCAGCAGGGAAGAAGCGAAAGUGACGGUACCUGCAGAAGAAGCGCCGGCUAACUACGUGCCAGCAGCCGCGGUAAUACGUAGGGCGCAAGCGUUGUCCGGAAUUAUUGGGCGUAAAGAGCUCGUAGGCGGCUUGUCACGUCGGGUGUGAAAGCCCGGGGCUUAACCCCGGGUCUGCAUCCGAUACGGGCAGGCUAGAGUGUGGUAG
rnacentral:rRNA from 1 species